rnacentral:rRNA from 1 species
UGAACCUCGCGCGCAUCUAAAGGUGAGAGGCGCAAGGGUGAGUAAGGCGACGGUAACCAACCCCACGGUUGGGCAUAGCCGCGGGAAACCGCGGGUAAUUCCCAGCGAUGUUGCGAGGGGGCAUCUCUUUGCAACCAAAGUUCCGGCGCCGUGGGACGGGCCGUCGUGGUAUUAGCUAGUUGGCGGGGUGACGGCCCACCAAGGCUGCGAUGCCUACCGGGCGUGCGAGCGUGGCCCGGCACACUGGGACUGAGACACUGCCCAGACUCCUACGGGAGGCUGCAGUCGAGAAUCUUCGGCAAUGGGCGCAAGCCUGACCGAGCGACGCCGCGUGGAGGACGAAGGCCUUCGGGUUGUAAACUCCUGUCGAGGGGGAGGAAGGGGCAACCUUGACCGAUCCCUGGAGGAAGCACGGGCUAAGUUCGUGCCAGCAGCCGCGGUAAGACGAACCGUGCGAACGUUAUUCGGAAUCACUGGGCUUAAAGCGCGUGUAGGCGGGAGGGCACGUCGGUUGCUGAAAUCCCCCGGCUCAACCGGGGAACGGGCACCGAUACGACCGUCCUGGAGGGGGGUAGGGGGAGCUGGAACUUCCGGUGGAGCGGUGAAAUGCGUUGAGAUCGGAAGGAACGCCCGUGGCGAAAGCGAGCUCCUGGACCCUUACUGACGCUGAGACGCGAAAGCCAGGGGAGCGAACGGGAUUAGAUACCCCGGUAGUCCUGGCUGUAAACGAUGGGCACUGGGUAGGGGGCUCGCCGAUGGGCUCCCUGCCGCAGGGAAACCGUGAAGUGCCCCGCCUGGGGAGUAUGGUCGCAAGGCUGAAACUCAAAGGAAUUGACGGGGGCUCACACAAGCGGUGGAGUAUGUGGCUUAAUUC